GCCGGGCGUUGUGGUUGGCGCCUGUGGUCCCAGCUACUUGGGAGGCUGAGACAGGAGACUUGCUUGAGCCCAGGAGAUGGAGGUUGCUGUGAGCUGUGAUGCCACAGCACUCUACCCAAGGGGAUAGCUUGAGGCUCUUUCUCAAAAAAAAAAUAAAAAAGAAUAGUCGUGUACAUUAGGGCAAUUAUGACGUUCAACUUGGUCUUCCUUUUUUUGUUUUUUGACACAGAGCCUCAAGCUGUCCCCCUGAGUAGAGUGCUGUGGCAUCACAGCUCACAGCAACCUUCAACUCCUGGGCUCAAAUGAGUCUCCUGCCUCAG
rnacentral:SRP_RNA from 1 species